CCCAGCAGCAGUCAGCUGUGCAGGUCUGUGCCGUGCCUGCCUCAGUGUUACUCUGCUGGUAGAGGAAGGUGCUGCCACUAGGCCUGGGCUCUAGGAGGCGCUGUUCUAGUGUCUCCUGAUGGCCAGCCAUGGCAGAACCAUGCCCCCCUGAGAGUGGACAGUCCCCCCACGCAUGCGGGAUGGCCCUAGUUCGGGGGCUUACAGC